rnacentral:rRNA from 1 species
GAACUCACGGUCUCGCGAUGCCUCNACAUGUUUAUAUGAUCAUGGCUCAAGCCCCUGGGGGGUAAAAGGCCUAACACAUGCAAGUCGAACGGCAGCACAGUGAGAGCUCGCUCUCUGAGUGUGGCGAGUGGCGGACGGGUGAGGAAUACAUACGGAAUCUACUCUGUCGUGGGUGGAUAACGUAGGGAAACUUACGCUAAUACCGCAUACGACCUACGUGGUGAAAGCAGGGUGAUCUUCGGACCUUGCGCGAUUGAAUGAGCCUGAUGUCGUGAUUAGCUAGUUGGCGUGGGUAAAGUGCCCACCAAGGCGACGAUCCGUAGCUGGUCUGAGAGUGAUGAUCAGCNCACACUGGAACUGAGACACGGUCCAGACUCCUACGUGGAGUGCAGCAGUGGUGGAAUAUUGGACAAUUGGGCUGCAAGCCUGAUCCAGCCAUACCUGCGUGGGUGAAGAAGUGCCUUCGGGUUGUAAAGCCCUUUUGUUGGGAAAGAAAUCCAGUCUGGCUAAAUACCUGGUUGGGAUGACUGGUACCCAAAGAAUAAUGCACCGGCUAACUUCGUGCCAGCAGCCUGCGUGUAAUACGAAGUGGUGCAAGCGUUACUCGGAAUUACUGGGCGUAAAGCGUGCGUAGGUGGUCCGU